ensembl:lncRNA
CCAGCCCCGCCCAAUCACCGGCCCCGCCUGCACCCCUAGCCCCGCCCCUUCCCCUCCGCAGCCAAUGAGAGGCGGAGGGCGUGGCCACGCCCCCCGCGCGGUGGGCGCCAUGAUGGGAGCGGGGUGGGAGGUGAAGGGCGGCCCUAUGGGAGCUAUAGGGGGGAUCUGUAGGGGACGAAGGGGGGUAUAUGGGGGGCUGAUCGGGGUACGGGGGAUAUAUGGUCGCAUAUGGGGGUCUGUAGGGGUUUCUGGAGGGAUCCGGAUGGGAUCUGUAGGGGAUCUAUAGGGGAUCGAGGGGUGUAUAGGGGGGUCUAUGGGGGUAUAGGGGUAAUAUAUGGGGAGAUAUUGGGGUUAUAUAUGGGAGGAGAUGGUGGGGUGUAUGGGGGUGUGGGGAGGGGCCGAUGUGGGGUCUGUAGGGCUUCUUUAUAGGGGAUUGGGGGGUAUAUAGGGGUCUGGGGGGGGGAUUGGGGGUAUAUCGGUGUGUCUGGAGGGGUCUAUGGGGGAUCUAUAGGGGAUAUAUAGGGGUUGGGGGGGGGGGUUGGGGUAUAUCUGUGUCGGGAGGGGUCUAUGGGGGAUCUAUAGGGGAUCGGAGGGAGUAUAGGGGAUAUAUGGGGGGGUUGGGGGGGAUUGGGGUAUAUCUGUGUCUGGAGGGGUCUAUGGGGGAUCUAUAGGGGUUGGGGGGGAUUGGGGUAUAUCUGUGUCUGGAGGGGUCAAUGGGGGAUCUAUAGGGGAUAUAUAGGGGUUGGGGAGUUGGUAGGGAGGGUCUGUGGGGGAUCUGUAAAAGGUCUCUAUAGAGGAUCUAUAGGGGAUGGGGGGGGGGGGGUUAUAGGGGUGUCCUGGGAGGGUCUGUAGGGGGGCAGUGGGGGUGUCUGGGGGGGGUAUGGGGAUAUAUGAGGGGAUCUGUAGGGGGGUCUGGGAGGGGGUGAGGGGGGUACUUAUGGGGUAUAGGGGGAAAUGUGGUUAUUUGGGGGCAUCUGGAGGGGUAUUUAUGGGGUAUAGGGGGAAAUGGGGGUACUUAUGGGGUAUAGGGGGAAAUGUGGUUAUUUGGGGGCAUCUGGAGGGGUAUUUAUGGGGUAUAGGGGGAAAUGUGGUUAUUUGGGGGCAUCUGGAGGGGUAUUUAUGGGGUAUAGGGGGAAAUGUGGUUAUUUGGGGGCAUCUGGAGGGGUAUUUAUGGGGUAUAGGGGGAAAUGUGGUUAUUUGGGGGCAUCUGGAGGGGGGUACUUAUGGGGUAUAGGGAGAAAUAUGGUUAUUUGGAGGGGUACAUAUGGGGUAUAGGGGGAAAUGUGGUUAUUUGGGGGCAUCUGGAGGGGUACAUAUGGGGUAUAGGGGGAAAUGUGGUUAUUUGGGGCAUCUGGAGGGGUAUUAAUGGGGUAUAGGGGGAAAUACGUUUAUCUGGGGGGGUUAUAUAGGGGUCUGGGGGGUAUUGGGUGGGGAUGCCUGGAGGGAUCUAUGGGGGGGGGGUGGGAAUAGAUCCUAUAGGGUAUGCUAUAGGGCCCGGCCCCUCUCGAGGCAGCGCUGCCCCAUGCGUUCCUCCCCCCCGGGGUCGGGCCCCAGAGUGAGGAGGGGGCAAACCUACGGCCGGCGGCUCUUAUUCCCCCCCCACCCCCCCCAAAAUUGGAGCCGUCGGUAUACAGCAGCCCCCACAAACCCUAUAGGGGAAGGAGCAGCUCCUGUGGAUCCUAUAGACCCCCCCCCCCCCCCCCAUUAUAAGGGUUGGGGUGAAGGAGAAGGAAUGGCUGUGGUGGAGGCGUUGGGACAACGGGACGGUGGCGGAGUGGUGAGACGUGGGUAGGAUGGGGGCGUCAAUGGGGGGACAGUGGUGGCAGUGGAAGGGAUGGGGACAAAAUGGAGUCAAUGGAGAUGAAUGGAGGAGAGAACGGUGGCAUGGAAAUGAAUGGGGGACAAAGUGGUGACAUUGGAAUGAAUGGGGGGCAAAAUGGCAUUGGAAUGGAUGAAUGGGGGACAAAAUGGAGUCAAUGGAGAUGAAUGGGGGGCAAAAUGGUGGCAUUGAAACGAAUGGGGGACAAAAUGGAGUCAAUGGAAAUGAAUGGGGGACAAAAUGGUGGCGUUGGAAUGAAUGGGGGACAAAAUGGAGUCAAUGGAGAUGAAUGGGGGGCAAAAUGGUGGCAGUGGAGAUGAAUGGGGGACAAAAUGGAGUCAAUGGAGAUGAAUGGGGGGCAAAAUGGUGGCAUUGAAAUGAAUGGGGGACAAAAUGGUGGCAGUGGAAAUGAAUGGGGGACGAAAUGGAAUCAGUGGAGAUGAAUGGGGGGCAAAACAGAGUCAAUGGAGAUGAAUGGAGGAGAAAAUGGCAUCAAUGGAAGUGAAUGGGGGACAAAAUGGCGGCAUUGGAAUGAAUGGGGGACGAAAUGGAGUCAAUGGAAAUGAAUGGGGGGCAAAGUGAUGACAUUGGAAUGAAUGGGGGACAAAAUGGAGUCAAUGGAAAUGAAUGGGGGACAAAAUGGCGGCGUUGGAAUGAAUGGGGGACAAAAUGGAGUCAAUGGAGAUGAAUGGGGACAAAGUGGUGGCGUUGGAAUGAAUGGAUGGGGGACAAAAUGGAGGUAUUGGAAUGGAUGGGUGAUAAAAGUGGUGGCAUUGGAAUGAAUGGUGGACAAAAUGGAGUCAAUGGAGAUGAAUGGGGGGCAAAAUGGUGGCAGUGGAGAUGAAUGGGGGAAGAAAUGGAGUCAGUAGAGAUGAAUGGGGAUUAAACGGUGGCAUUGAAAUGAAUGGGGGGCAAAAUGGAGUCAAUGGAAAUGAAUGGGGGACAAAAUGGCGGCAUUGGAAUGAAUGGGGGGCAAAAUGGAGUCCAUGGAAAUGAAUGGGGGGCAAAGUGAUGACAUUGGAAUGAAUGGGGGACAAAAUGGCAGCAUGAAUGGGUUACAAAGUGGUAACAUUGGAGUGAAUGGGGGACAAAAUGGUGUCAAUGGAGAUGAAUGGGGGGCAAAAUGGUGGCAGUGGAGAUGAAUGGAGGACAAAAUGGAAUCAGUGGAGAUGAAUGGAGGAGAAAAUGGCGUCAAUGGAAAUGAAUGAGGGGCAAAAUGGUGGCAUUGGAAUGAAUGGGGGACAAAAUGGCAUUGGAAUGAAUGAAUGGGGGAUGAAAUGGAGUCAAUGGAGAUGAAUGGGGGACAAAAUGGUGGCAUUGAAAUGAACGGGGGGCAAAACAGAGUCAAUGGAGAUGAAUGGAGGAGAAAAUGGCGUCAAUGGAAAUGAAUGGGGGACAAAAUGGCAUUGGAAUGAAUGAAUGGGGGACAAAAUGGAGUCAGUGGAAAUGAAUGGGGGACAAAAUGGCAGCAUUGGAAUGAAUGGGGGACAAAAUGGCAUUGGAAUGAAUGAAUGGGGGACAAAAUGGAGUCAAUGGAGAUGAAUGGGGGACAAAAUGGUGGCAUUGAAAUGAACGGGGGGCAAAACAGAGUCAAUGGAGAUGAAUGGAGGAGAAAAUGGCGUCAAUGGAAAUGAAUGGGGGACAAAAUGGCAUUGGAAUGAAUGAAUGGGGGACAAAAUGGAGUCAGUGGAAAUGAAUGGGGGACAAAAUGGCGGCAUUGGAAUGAAUGGGGGACAAAAUGGCAUUGGAAUGAAUGAAUGGGGGGCGAAAUGGAGCCAAUGGAGAUGAAUGGGGGACAAAAUGGCGGCCCCAAAAUGGCGGCCCCGCAGUGGUGGCCCAAUGGUGGCGCUGCAGUGGGGUGGGGGUGGCAAUAAAGACUUUUCACCCCCCCAAAAAUGGCUCUUUUUAACCUUUUUUUUUUUACCCCCAUUCUCAAUGGAGGUUUUUGGACCCUCCCCCCCCCCCCCCCCCCAAAAUCCCAUUCCUCCCCCCCCGGAUUUCCCCAUUAUCCCCACAAAUCUUCUGUGCCCCCCCCCAAAAAUGAAUGGUUUCCCCUUUAGAGCUCUUUUUUAUGGGGGAUAUUGGGUUAUUUGGGGGGGAAAUUGGGUUAUUUGGGGGAAAUUGGGUUAUUUUGGGGGGAAAUGGGGUUAUUUGGGGGGGAAAUAUGGGUUAUUUGGGGGGGAAAGAGGAAAUUUGGG